AUUGAACGCUAGCGGCAUGCUUUACACAUGCAAGUCGAACGGAGUGGCGGACGGGUGAGUAAUAUAUGGGAACGUGCCCAGUAGCGGGGGAUAACUACUCGAAAGUGUGUCUAAUACCGCAUACUAUGGGAGCGGCCGAUAUUGGAUUAGCGAGGUGGUGGGGUAAAGGCUCACCAAGGCCACGAUCCGUAGCUGGUGUGAGAGGACGACCAGCCACACUGGGACUGAGACACGGCCCAGACUCCUACGGGAGGCAGCAGUGGGGAAUAUUGGACAAUGGGCGAAAGCCUGAUGCAGCCAUGCCGCGUGUAUGAAGAAGGCCUUAGGGUUGUAAAGUACUUUUGGCAGAGAGGCGGUAUCUGCAGAAGAAGCACCGGCUAACUACGUGCCAGCAGCCGCGGUAAUAC
rnacentral:rRNA from 1 species